rnacentral:piRNA from 1 species
UCUAAGGACGUGACCGGUCUUUUAUAGUCC